UGCGUCAGUAGCUCAGCUGGAUAGAGCAUACGGCUACGGACCGUAGUGUCGGGAGUUCGAAUCUUCUCUGGCGCAU
rnacentral:tRNA from 6 species